rnacentral:lncRNA from 1 species
GCUGGGACAGCAGCAGCAGCAGCUCCCAGCCCAGCCCGCCGUUCCAUCCAUCCAUCCGUCCGUCCGUCCGUCCGUCCGUCCGUCCGUCCCUCGGCGGGGCGCGGUGCUGCAGCUCACGACCACAUCUGGCCUUGACCUUCUCAGUAGCAGAUCAGGAUCCCAAAGCCCUUCACUACAAGGUGGGUUUCCUGUGCCACAGUCAUCAUCCUCCCUGCUCCUCUCUUUCUUCUCGUUGUCUUUCCUGAGUGGCAAAUUGCAGUUUUCAGUGUGUUUAUAUGGAAGGAGAUUAUUCAUGCUGCUGACAAAGUCCAAGACUCCUCUGACAGAGUAGCUUGCACUUGACUUUUUAAAGAUACAAUAUCCUGGACUCUCCAGGUAUCACAGACUUAGUUUUGCUUUAUCACUGGUUUAAUAAACUGGUGUCACUGGUUUAUUAAAAAAGGGCA